AACUGGUGCGGAGAAAAGUGGGUUAUUUUGUGUCGUUUCCAACCUGUUAGAGAAAACACAAAUUGACCAGGAAACAAGCGUAGUAAACGCAGUGCGUCAAAUCAAGUAUAGGCGACAUAUGUCAAUUCCAAAUAAAGACCAGUACAUUUUCUGUCACCAAUGCGUGAACGAAUAUCUUCGUACCUUUGAUAUCUACUCCAAUUUUGAACUCAAGACUUGAUGCCCAAGUUAUCAUCAACGCCGGAAAUAUUGAACAUGUAGCAUAACAUAUAGCUAAAAUCUAAUUAUGAGUAUGAGGAGCAUUAGCUUGUUACUUCCCUUGAAUUGUUGUAUUAUAAAGCGCAAGGAUAACCAAAUAUUACAUUGGUCCCUUUCAGUUGGAUUCCUCUGACAUUUUCGUUAUUACCUAUAUCCGAUGUUGCGGUUGGUCAAAAUAAAUAUGCAUUUUAUGAGUAUGUUUCUAAAUAAAAUGAUUAAUCCAACCUAAAUUUAACAGUGGACCACUAAGAGAAAACCUGUCCUUAAUCAUUUUCCAGUCAUAUGAAAUUUAGUAUAGAUAUUGCUUUUGAAAAUUACAAAGAAGUCAACGAUAAAAACCGAGGAAGGACCAAUCUACAUCUUGGACAUAAUCAGGGGAAGUAACUGACUAAUGUUCCCCAUUGGCUGUCUAAUUCUAAGUGGAAGCUCGACGUAAAUGCGAUAGGGUUUGACACAGCAUCGUUCCAAACCUUAGAAACAGCAUCAAGUAGAUAACUGUUACAGUAAUAUAUAUGCGUCUAGUUUUAAUUUAUUUGUAUAUUUAUUUUGUAUACAUUUUUGUAAAUACGCAAUUAAUAUUGUGCUCACCUUGUAUAUCCUUUAUUUUUUAUAAAUAUAAUACAAUGUGUUAUACUGUCGCUUCGUUGGAAAUGAAUAAGUGGUUUUGUUACUUUGAUAUUUGAUAUUGACUAUGGAAGUUCAGCUGCGCUAAAACAGGUCAAGAUUGACUGUGACCGUUUUUAGCUCUACUAUUCUUUGAUAUUGAACUCGCCCAUGCGUCGGCGUCGGCGUCCGCGUCCCGAUUUGUUUAAGUGUUUGUAUGUAAGCUGGUAUCUCAGUAACAACUUGUGGGAAUGGAUUGAAACUUCACACACUUAUUCACUGUGAUAAACUGACUUACAUUACACAGGUUCCAUAACUCUGUUUUGCUUUUUUACAAAAUUGUGCCCCUUUUUCGACUUAGAAAUUUUGGUUAAGGGUUUGUAUGUAAGCUGGUAUCUUAAGACCCACUAAUGGGAAUGGAUUGACAUAUUUGUUCACUGUCAUCAUCUGACAUGCAAAAAGUAGGUCCCAUAACGCUACUCUGUAUUUUUUUCAAAAUUAAGCCCCUUCUUUCACAUUGCAGUUUUUGGUUAAGUUUUUGUAUGUAAGCUGGUAUCUCAGUAUCCACUAAUGGGAAUGGAUUGAAACAUCACAACUUGUUCACUGACAUGAUCUGACAUGCACUGUACAUGUCCCAUAACUCUAUUUUGCAUAUUUCAAAAUUAUGCCCCUUUUUCGACUUAGCAGUUUUUGGUCAAGUUUUUGUAUGUAAGCUGGUAUCUCAGUAUCCACUAAUGGGAAAGAAUUGAAACUUCACACACUUGUUCACAGUCAUGAUAUAUCAUGCAAUGCAAAGGUUCAAUAAUUCUACUUCGCAUUUUUACAAAGUUAUGCCCCUUUUUUUAACUUAGCAGUUUUUGCUUAGAUUCUUAUAUGUAAGCUGGUAUCUCAGUACCCACUAAUGGGAAUGGAUUGAAACUUCACACACAUUUUCACUAUCAUAAGCUGAUAAGCACUGUGCAGGUUUCAUAACUCUGUUUCCCAUUUUUACAAAAGUAUGCCCAAUUUUUGACUUUAAUUUGUAUUCAUUCAGUUAACAAGGCUGUUGAAUAAUCGAGCGUUUUUCUUUUCCUUUUCUUUAGAACUUGAAUGGGAAUGAAUAUUCGAUCUAGUGAUAGGCUUCAAACAUUAAUUAUUUCCCUUGACGUAGUUACACACUACUGGCGCAUAUACAACGUAAAAUGUUGUGUCAGGGAUGAAUAAAAAUGUAGGCGAUAAAAAUCUUCAUCUUAAACUGUAGCCUGUUAAAGUAAAACGGUUUAGUCCGUUAUGCAACAAGCUAAGGAAGCGACACAGUCUGGUUGCUCAAGGAAUGUAGUUGCUUAAAACAGAUGGCCGCUAAGACAAGUUCAACUUGAACAUUUGUUAUGUGGUAGAACGAGGCUUGUGUUAUUGCGAAUAUGUACGCCCAAGACCUUAAAAUGACUUUUGAUCCUUUUAUAAAAAGAAGAAACUUGCGGUGUGUUAAUGAAACAAUAAUGUAAAUUAUAUCAUUUUGAGACCAACUAAUGCUUAUUAACUUUGUUUACUACUUAUAUAUUAUUUAACAACUACAAAAACUAUGGGAAAUCACUGAACAAAAUUGUCUUGCACUAUGAUAUCAAUGAUAGUGUUAUCUUAUUUGUUAAAUGUACCUUUACGUGUAUAUAGAAGAUUUUCCAUGACACUUAAAUUUUCUAUUUAUAAUUUUGCUUAAAAUUUGCAAACAUUUGUUAAAUUUCCAAUAUUUACUAAAUUCAUUAAACUUAAAACUAUAGA